UACGGUAUUGUUUAUGCCAAGCUUGAUUUGAUCCUGAGAUGAUCAUGUGAUGUCCGAGGUCGAUAAGUGAUGCAUGUGUUGGUUACGAGGUAACUGAGCAUAAUAAGGGGUGCAUAUGGUGUCAUCAUGUUACAUGCUAGUAUUGUCGGAUUAAUAUGUUCAUGCUAUGUUCAGGUUGAGUUAGCUGUAUCAUGUUUAUGUUGGUCAUGCCAUGUUAUGCUGAUGAUCUCAUGUUAAUUCCUGUUUAACCUGUAAUUGUCGUGCUGUUGUUUGUCUUGAAUGCUUCUGGUUAUUUGUGAGCUUGCAAGUACAUUCAAUGUACUGACCUGGCGUGUCAUGCCAUCUUGCAGGUCAUGCCAGAUUUGAUUGCUUGCUUGUCGUGGUUUUCGUUCGUGCGAGCUAGGAUAAGCGUUCCAGCCAAAGUCCCUGCGGAUUGGAGUUCACCACCAUCGCCAUUGUUCUACUGCUUCGAGUUGUUUUGCUGCUUGCAUAGAGCAACUGAGGAUGGCGUAGUGUCGCCGUAUCGAUGUUAUUCAUUGUAAUAUCGGAGACCUUGUAUUCAUAUUUGUGUAAUAAUAGAAGGCUGGUUUGUUCUAUGCUAAGAAGUGUCGUAUUCCAGAAGACUUCUCCUCGAUCUCUAGGCUGGAAUACGGGGCGUUCCGGUUUUCUCUGGGCCGGGGUGCCACAGGCUUGUUAUCAGAGCAUGUCUGGCUGUAGGACGCCCUAGACUGCGCAAAUGUUAGAAAGCGGUAGUAUAGACCCUAGUUGGUUUGUUGCACUUGAUUGUUGCAUUUGUUUGUCGCAUAGCAUGCAUAUGGAUUAUUACUUGGUACUAACGGUUUAUCUGGUGAGUGUAGUUGGCAUCGGUUCGGAUCCACUACAGCUCAACCUUUGCAUUUCCCCAGUCCCUUUUUCUUUCGGUGUUUGGUGUCAUUUCUGUCCAAGCAGAGUGAUGCCAAGAGACCCCGACACCAUUUGCAAAAAUGGUGCUCAAGUAUCGCACCGAUGUCUUUCCUUCAGUCCCGACUAUCGUUUCGGUGAUGGACAUGUUUCUAUCCCGGAUCGUUCUUUUAUUCUGUCGUGUUGGCAACCCUUAAUGAUCUUAGUUAUCAAGAAAGGGCAAUGUCAGCAGCCUCAGUUUUUUUCCCGCAAUCCUAUUUCUUGGACGAGUACGGAUCUUUCUCCGUCUGCUUGAUAAUAAUGUGGUUGCGACCUUCGUGUCCCACUACAUGAUUACCGAGUACGUCCUCGCCUCCGAGCUAGUUCAUGUUGCUGCCUGGCUAAGCUAGCACUUGGUGAAGCACUGUUUACACCAAUUCUUCCACAGAUUUAUUCGCCCUCGUGCACAUCGUCACAACAUAUUAGACCGCAAUACCGGAGAUUCCACAAGAUUUGUGUGCUUAGGUGUGCAUGCAUAUUAUUGUGUGAGUAGCAGUGAUAUGUGAUGAUUGCUUGAUUAAUUAUAUUAGUAGAAUGCUUGUGUGCUUUUGUUUUAGUCAUUUCUGUUGUUCCUUUCUUUGGGCCUUCGGUGUUACAAAUUUUUCCCCUAUUAAAGUUGCUCAUCACCGACACCGGACCCGAAGAGUCAGCAAGAAAUGCAUAUAUUUGGAAAUUCAGCUAACAGAAUGGAAUUAUCAGCAGACUGCAGUGAAAUUGGGAAUAUCUUGUCUGGAUGCAAAAGAAAUCCUGGAUGGGCCGUCAGUAUCAAGUUUGCAUUUGCAUGCACUCAUCACAACAAAAUGAUUAAAUCAGCAAGAAGAUAAAUUGUGUGCAAGGUUGACAGAAUAUUAUCAGUCAAAGGUAUGGCUCAAAUACAAGUUUAAUUUUUCGUUGAGGAUGAUUUUGGAAUUCGAUGUACAUGGAAGCAAGCAAAAAUAUGGCAUAUAAUCCGGAAGGAGAAUAGUCCUGCAAAAUCCUAUUUCAUACAAGAAAUCAACAUCAGAAAUAUUAAGAUGGUAUGUAUAUGUGGAAAUCGGUCCACAUAUCACAAUAAGAAGCUUCUGGUGGAAGCAACCCAAUCUUCCCUCGCAAAAUACCAGAGAAGUUUCCAAGGCAAGAUUCAUCUAUCUUCCUCAGUACGAUACAUGGAUGAUUUCCCGUGCAAGGUACUCUACCUUCUUCAGUAAGCAACCGCAAAAGCUUCCGGCAUAAGGUACUGAAUCUUUCCCAAGUAAAGUCUUUAAGGGGGUAAGCUUCUAAAGCACGAUAUUCAGUCUUCUUCAGCAAGCUGUCCGAUGAAAGUUUCGAGCACAAGCCAGCAAAUAUUCCUCAGUAAGACAUUGGUACAAGGUAGUACGCUGUGAAUUGACAGCAUAUGGCAAUGAAGUCCAAGAAUCAGACCCGCAACAUUUUGGUCAGAAUCAAGAAUCAGCCAAUAUACACUGCAGUGUGACAAAGGAUUAUGAGGAUUGACGACAUCAAUGAGCUCAAUACAAGUACCCGUGAACCUGGAAAAUGAUCCUGAUGAGCCCUUGUCCCCUUUUUCUCCAAUGACGGCACCACGCCUGUGAUCUGAGCUGUUUCUAGCUAUCCGGGGUGGAUGCCGAUUUUUGUUUCUCUCUUCAAUGACUGUCACGAGACUGAGCGGCUUUUCGGCCGUCUCGUACAGCUGUUGAGUUUCUUUUUUGACAGUAGCCCUACAGCUAUUUUUGGCUAUUUUAGGGAGCUACCACCUUCUUCUUAUCGACCCGGUCUCAUGCUCUGAGCUGUUUUUCGGCCUUCUUGAGCCGUGGUUGAGUUAUUUCAGUAAUGUCCCAGAUCUGAGUUGUAAAGACCGUUCUGGUGGCUACUGAUUUAUUUGCCGAUUUCUUGCAAGGGUUUCGGAUGAUCAUUUCCCAAUGAUCAGAACUUGAGAGGUGUUGAACCUGCCAUUUAAUGGGUUACCCUGUCAGAAAAAUGAGGAUAAGCUACGAUUGCCGAAAAAUUGCACCGACAGUACCUAUGGUCAUACGAAGAAACAAUAUGUCCCAGCUCUUUCAGCGAAGGAUCCAGAUCAUGAAAACAAUAAUGAAGGAGCAAGACCGGUGAUGCAGGUUUGAAAAUUGUUGCAUGACCCCAUGGUGCAGAUUCCCCGGACAAUCUAAGUCAGUAUUGAUCCACAUGGAUAUGCCUACAACAUGAGUAAUCAGCAUGAGGAAUAACAGUCUGGAAGCCUGAGUCCUCACUUAUAUGAAUCAUCAUGGAUAGCCUGUCGUGAACAAAUUUUUUUUUCGUCAGAACCACUGUCAGUCAAGUCUGCAGAUAUUGUCAUACAUGCCAAACCCUUUAUGCUGAUUGUGACCGGAGACAAUCAAAUAUUUGGUAUGGGUCCGAUACACACGACCGUGGAACCGGUUAAGAUGAUUAAGAAACUUCUGCGAUGAGUCAGAAUCUGUCAGGAAACGGUUAUGUUUUAACUCACUGUUUGGAACCCAAAGGACCUGCAUUUAAUGGGGAAACCCAAUGCAAUGAGUCAGAGCUUGAGUUUUCAUCAAAAAAUUCUAAUCAUCAUUACAUGAAAGGUUGUCAGUGUCGGGUGGCACACCCAGCGGAAAUCACUUUUGGAUUUGUGAGACGGACAUAUAUUUCAGUCGUGAUAAUCAAAUCACACUCAGCUAGUCAGCAGAUCUAAAAAGAAAUUGGAGCCUAUAUGAGCAUGAGCAAGCCAGGUAAGAUCUGUCAGAAUAUGGAUACAGUAAAGCAAACCACCCCAGGGCCUAUCAAAUAAAGAUUUAAUUGGAACAACAAUAAAGGAAAAAGGAUACCCGAGUUGGAAACGACUUCCUUAAGUCAGAAUAUUUAUACUUGUUCCCUGAGCAACCAAAUCUCGAGGACGAGAUUUCUUUAAGGGGGUAAGGUUUGUGACAGCCUGAUUUUUGUCCCUUUCUUUUUCUUUUGUUUUUCGAGGUUUUUGCCUGAGUUUUCUUUUUCCGUGGCUUUGUGGUCUGGAAACUGAAGAAAAUGCCCUCUUCUUUGUUUCCAGAGUGGCUUGCCAUUCCCAAAUCUUUCCCUAGACCCUGUCAUUUCCAUCCUAGCCCAAAUCCCAAUAUUCUUUUAUUGGGAAUAUUCCUUUUCUAUUAAAGGAAUAACUCCAAGUGCCCUAGGUUGUGAAGCAACCUAUAUUUCCAUCACUCCAAAAAUUCCCAAAUAAUUCUCAUAAAAUGUUUGGGGUCAUAUCUUGAUCAAAUAUGGCAAAACGUUUCAUUGCCAUGUUCAAAAAUAAUCCUCCAAUAAUUCAUUUCCUAUUCUGCCCUGAAUGGCACUUUGUGAAGGAAGUGUCAUUUAUAUUUCUCCUAUUGACUCCCAAACUUUUUGGACAUGUUUAUAUGUCCAAAUAAUUGCCCCAUGCACAAGUUCAAAUUUAUUUGCCUAUCCAAUCUUCCUCCGUGAAUUUUCAAAGUUUCUGUCAAACAGAAAGCUUUGUGAAGGAAGUACUAGCCAGGAAUACCCAAAUGAGUUUAACUUUUGCACACUCCUUAAUGUGCUCAUAUUAACCCCUUCCACCCAUUUCCAGCCCCAUCUAAUCAUCCAUGUGAGCACAGGAGCAAAUCUUUGUUUCUGGCAAUAUUUUCAGGUUGUGAAGCAAGUAUAUUUUAUAUUGCUUCCAAAAUCCUGAUAAAUUACCAGAUCAUUACUAUACACGUAAAACAUCUCUCCACCCAUUUUGGCAUCCUUUCAUUUAGCCAUUUGACCACCAUAAUUAUUUCAAGUUUCUGUCCAGAGGAGAUGUUUGUGAAGCAAGUGCUAUUUUGGUUUGUCCAUUUAGCAUGAUAUUUUUACAACAUCUUAAUAUGACCAAAUGACUAAGCCUUGCCCAAUUUGAGCUCAAUUUUACACUCCAUGUGAGUGCAUCUUGCUAAUCUUCAUUUCUGGACCAUUUUGGCAGUUGCAAAGCAACUAUGUUAAAUACUGGUCCAUUUCCCCUCACAACCUCCAGGACUGUAUUCCUUCCUAUCCUAAACACCCUAGACAACCUAUUUUGCUUCCAAUAAUUCCCAGUUGAUCACACUGAGCUGAUGAAGCUUACUGCAGUAAACUUGAGAGGGUUAUUUCUUUCUAACUAGAGUAUAUUUCACCAAGUUACCACCUUAGUUGUUACCACCCUUCGAAGGACUACGUAGUGGACAUGUUUUAACCUCAGUAAAACCUCCAGAGCGCGCCAUGCCAGUGGUGACCACGAGUGCAGCCAGCCAAAACGGUGGUCUCGCCACUGUUGUAACAACAGCGUCGCUUCGGCCGGUUCUGGCUUGUCCCCAGGUGUCUAAAAGCUGGCCCUAGUCGUCCUCUUCACCCUCGGCCCCUCUCCCCCUCUGGCAGCUUCCUUGCCGACGCUCGCCGACGAGUGCCCACGGGAGCAUAGUGCUCCGACAUGUUUUAAUUGCGCUCGGCCCUUUCCUCUGCCCCUCUCUUGGCCGUCCCUUCCCCGUGAAGCUCUGCCCUGUGCCUCGCCGUCGUUUUCCCCGAGUCCAUGCGCUCGGGCACGCGUCCGCGGCGCCGGACACGCGUCGCCCGUGGCGCCAGCUCGGCAUCCCUCUCUCCCGGCUAUUUAAGCCAUCCCUGAGCCCUUCCGAGCUCGCCAGCAGCCUCCCCGUUCUCCUCUAGCCCCGCCUAGCCACUAGCCCGAGCUCCUGGAGCACUCUCUACCCGCCAUCGCGGCCUUGGCCACCGCCUCUUCCCUCCCUCGAUUCGGCCGAGUCCGAGCCCCUCCCUCGCUCCUUCCACCACCAGUGAGAUCCACUCACUCCGGCGCCCAUGCCCAUGCCCUUUCCCCCUCGCCGGAACCAUCGUGGUCGCGAGCCCCAUCUCCUCCCGUAGCCAUCUCCGCCGGAGUCCAUGCUCUGCCCGACCCCUUCCUCCUCGGCGUGCGCAAAGCCCCUGGUUGGAUGCGCUGUUGAGCGUUGAAUCCAUCCAUAGGCGGAGCGUCGCCGGAGGCCCUCUGUGGCGCCGGCAAUCGCCGCCCGACGCCGGUGUCCUCCCUCUACCUCGCGGGCGAGCGAGGAGAAGAAGACGACGACACAGCGCCCUGCCAGCUGGCCGCGGGUCCCGCCAGUCUGUGGCUGAGCGUUUACCCCGCGGGCCAGCGUGGAUAAGUGACGGGCCCCACACGUGGGACCCACGCGCGUCAGCCCCGCCAUUGUUCCAACGGAUAAGGUGAAAGUGUAUUCCUUCCUUUACGUUUUCUCUUUUUCUGUUCAGGCCCCUAGUUGAAAAAAAUCCAUUACAGAUAGGUCCCUGGCAGUAAAACCCUUAUAACUUUUUAACCGUAACUCCAAAUGAGGUGAAACCAACGCUCACUUCUUCGUUUCGUCGAGCCCGUUCUAUUGGUCAUGUUUUCACUAUGGUUUGACACUGUGAAAAUGACCAUUAUGCCCUUGCCCUUAUUCAGCCCCCUCCGAGAGAGAACGUUUUCCGGCGAAUAUUUCCGCGGCUUCACCACACUUCUCCCCGGUGCCUUCUUCAUCCCCAGGCAAGCCACAAUACCCACAUGCAUGAUAGUCAUGCAGUAGCCAUGGUUUCAACUUGAAUAUUUAAUAAAUGUUUGCCUGUUGAAAAGAUGGUUAUCGUUGUUCCGGUGAUGUUCAGAUUUGCAUGUUCACUGUUAUGCUAUGUUGUUUUAUAGUCUAUGAUCAUGUUAUACCUUCUAGUAUUACCUUUCAUAUGAUUAUGUUGGUUAGUAGUACAUGUUGAUGUUGGUGAUGGUCAUGCUAGUCAGUAUGCCAUGUUCAGUGGAUAUGAGUUAUUGUUGGUAUGGUGGAAAGUUAUGCGAUACUCUCAUGAUGAUGUUGAUAUCAUGUUCAUGUAUUAUAGUUGGCAUCAUGUUAUUUUAUCAUGGCUCAGCAUUUUUGCAUUCAAGUUAACCGGAUUAAAUUGAACUUGAACACCUGUUGGCUGAGUCAUGUUACCGCUGAAUCGAUGCUGACCAGUGCAACCACGCUUACCGGUAUGGGACUGUCCUAACUGGGUCUAUUGUCGUGCCUCUGGUCGGUACCUCAAUUUAGGGAAGGUUAUGGGCACGUGCUACCCUGAUCAGGUAGGCGGAGCAUAACCUUGUGAGCCCGUUGUUAAGUUAAUUUUGGUACCGAAUCCCAGUGUGGAUCGUGGCCACGAUGGUGGUUGAGGUGUCUGGAGGUAGACACGGGGCCUCCCAGGACUAGCCCGGUGGGGUCUGAGUUAGAAGGGCCGGGAGAGUGUCAUGACAAUAGAUCAGUUUUGUCGGAACGCCGUUGGUCCACCCGAAUGGGAGUGCGAGGCCAUGGGUUUCGUAGUGUGGGUACAGUGUACUAACCUCUGCAGAGUGUAUAUUAAUCUGUCGAUAGUCGCGCCCGCGGAUAAGGGCCCAGGUCGAGAAAAGGUCACACCAUGAGUCAACAGUAAUAAGAAUAAUGUGCUUAAUAACAGUGAGAUAAGUUGGCCAAGUGUUGGUCAGGUGGUGAUCACCGUAAGGAUCACGGGCCAUGUAGUGGUUGGGUUGUGAUCGCCGUAAGGAUCACGGGCCAAGUGUUGGUCGGGUGGUGAUUGUCGUAAAGAUCACGAUGGUAUCGAGGAUAUCGAGUUGUUGUAUAUUCGUGACGUUGUACGAGAGUCGUGGGUAAAGAUCAAGCUCCUUGUGGUUAUUUAGUGAUCGCUAUGGUAUUGUUUAUGCCAAGCUUGAUUUGAUCCUGAGAUGAUCGUGUGAUGUCCGAGGUCGGUAAGUGAUGCAUGUGUUGGUUACGAGGUAAACGAGCAGAAUAAGGGGUGCAUAUGGUGUCAUCAUGUUACAUGCUAGUAUUGUCAGAUUAAUAUGUUCAUGCUAUGUUCAGGUUGAGUUAGCUGUAUCAUGUUUAUGUUGGUCAUGCCAUGUUAUGCUGAUGAUCUCAUGUUAAUUCCUGUUUAACCUGUAAUUGCCAUGCUGUUGUUUGUCUUGAAUGCUUCUAGUUAUUUGUGAGCUUGCAAGUACAUUCAAUUUACUAACCUGGCGUGUCAUGCCAGCUUGCAGGUCAUGCCGGAUUUGAUUGCUUGCUUGUCGUGGUUUCCGUUCGUGCGAGCUAGGAUAAGCAUUCCAGCCAGAGUCCCUGCGGAGUGGAGUUCACCACCGUCGCCGUUGUUCCGCUGCUAGAGUUAUUCCACUGCUUCGAGUUGUUCUGCUGCUUGCAUAGAGCAACUGAGGAUGGCGUAGUGUCGCCGUACCGAUGUUAUUCAUUGUAAUAUCGUAGACCUUGUAUUCAUAUUUGUGUAAUAAUAGAAGGCUGGUUUGUUCUAUGCUAAGCAGUGCCGUAUUCCAGAAGACUUCUCCUCGAUCUCUGGGCUGGAAUACGGGGCAUUCCAGUUUUCUCUGAGCCGGGUUGCAACAGCUCAGAGAUACCUCUCCGAUACUCGGAGUGACAAAUCCUAAUCUCGAUCUAUGCCAACCAAACAAACACCUUCGAAGAUACCUAGAGCAUAUUUAUAAUCACCAAGUUACAUUGUGAUGUUUGAUAGCACAGAAGGCAUUCCUCCAGUAUUUGGGAGUUGCAUAAUCUCAUAGUCAAAGGAAUAUGUAUUUGACAUGAAGAAAGCAAUAGCAAUAAACCUGAACGAUCA
rnacentral:lncRNA from 1 species